rnacentral:rRNA from 1 species
UGGGGAAUAUUGCACAAUGGGCGCAAGCCUGAUGCAGCCAUGCCGCGUGUAUGAAGAAGGCCUUCGGGUUGUAAAGUACUUUCAGCGGGGAGGAAGGGAGUAAAGUUAAUACCUUUACUCAUUGACGUUACCCGCAGAAGAAGCACCGGCUAACUCCGUGCCAGCAGCCGCGGUAAUACGGAGGGUGCAAGCGUUAAUCGGAAUUACUGGGCGUAAAGCGCACGCAGGCGGUUUGUUAAGACAGAUGUGAAAUCCCCGGGCUCAACCUGGGAAAUGCAUCUGAUACUGGCAAGCUUGAGUCUCGUAGAGGGGGGUAGAAUUCCAGGUGUAGCGGUGAAAUGCGUAGAGAUCUGGAGGAAUACCGGUGGCGAAGGCGGCCCCCUGGACGAAGACUGACGCUCAGGUGCGAAAGCGUGGGGAGCAAACAGG